rnacentral:rRNA from 1 species
UAUACCUAUUCGAAGGGAUAGGGUCGGUUCGGCCGGGUUUCACACAGGUGUUGCAUGGCUGUCGUCAGCUCGUGUCGUGAGAUGUUGGGUUAAGUCCCGCAACGAGCGCAACCCUCAUCCUUAGUUACCAUCAGGUAAUGCUGGGGACUUUAAGGAAACUGCCAGUGAUAAACUGGAGGAAGGUGGGGAUGAUGUCAAGUCAUCAUGGCCCUUAUGGAGUGGGCUACACACGUGCUACAAUGGUGGCUACAAUGGGCUGCAAAGUCGCGAGGCUAAGCUAAUCCCUUAAAAGCCAUCUCAGUUCGGAUUGUACUCUGCAACUCGAGUGCAUGAAGUUGGAAUCGCUAGUAAUCGUGGAUCAGCACGCCACGGUGAAUACGUUUUCGGGUCUUGUACACACUGCCCGUCACGCCAUGGGAAUUGGUUUCACUCGAAGCU